AACUAAGUUUUUUGCCGAAGCUGUGGCUACAUCACAUAGAUGAUGUAGGGUAGAGGAGCGUUCCGUCCAGGGGGAAGCCAAGCGCGUAAGCCGCGGUCGACAGGACGGAAGUGAGAAUGUCAGAUUGAGUAACGUAAACAUUGGUGAGAAUCCAAUGCCCCGAAAACUCAAGGGUUCCUGCGCAAGGCUCGUCCGCGCAGGGUCAGUCAGGACCUAAGGUGAGGCCGAAAGGCGUAAUUGAUGGCAAGAAGGUUUAUAUUCCUUCACUAGUCUAGGCUUAGUCCUGAGGGACGAACAAAUAACACUCGGCACAAUGGCCUUCCUUGGCAGGAAGGAACAACCCAUUGUUGUUUGAUGGUAUCUUUUCCAAGAAAAGCUCAUUCGACUUUGAGUCUAGACUACCUGUACCGUAAACCGACACAGGUGGGUGGGUUGAAUAAACUAAGGGGAGCGAGAUAACUCUCUCUAAGGAACUCGGCAAAUUGGCUCUGUACCUUCGGAAGAAAGAGUGCCCCUUCAUGGGGCCGCAGCGAAGAGAUCCAGGCGACUGUUUACCAAAAACACAGGUCUCCGCAAAGUCGUAAGACGACGUAUGGGGGCUGACACCUGCCCAGUGCCAGAAGGUUAAAGAAGUUGGUCAAUCUUUGAUGAAGCUAACGACUGAAGCCCUGGUGAACGGCGGCAGUAACUAUAACUGUCCUAAGGUAGCGAAAUUCCUUGUCGGGUAAGUUCCGACCCGCACGAAAGGUGUAACGAUCUGGAUACUGUCUCAGAGAGAGACUCGGUGAAAUAAAACUAUCUGUGAAGAUGCGGAUUACCUGCACACGGACAGAAAGACCCUAUGAAGCUUUACUGUAACCUGGAAUUGCUCUCAAGCUUAUCUUGCGCAGCUUAGGUGGGAGGCUAUGAACCUUUUCUUCUGGGAAGAGGGGAGCCAUCAGUGAGAUACCACUCUUGGUAAGCUAGAGCGCUCAGUCUUCACCGUCAUCCGGUAAGACGACAGUUUCAGGCGGGCAGUUUGACUGGGGCAGUCACCUCCCAAAAGGUAAUGGAGGUGUGCAAAGGUUCCCUCAGGCUGGACGGAAAUCAGCCAUAGAGUGUAAAAGCAUAAGGGAGCUUGACUGCGAGACUGACAUGUCAAGCAGAGACGAAAGUCGGCUUUAGUGAUCCGACGGUGCUGUGUGGAAAGGCCGUCGCUCAACGGAUAAAAGUUACUCUAGGGAUCCUGUAACUGCGCGCUAUAACGAAGGCUUUCAUCGCUUUUUCCGGCGCGUAAUCAUGCAAUGUUGGCAAUCAGCGUUCCGCGCGGAAAAGGAUAUGCUGCGCCGCAAGGGGCUGCCAUGGCAUGACAAAAGCAAUCCGUUCUGGCGAUACUGGAUGCUGCAAGGCUUCUUUUUGGCGCUGGCUAUUGUGAUUGGCGGGUUUUCGGGCCUGAUCCUAUUCCUGUUUCAGGCGUUGACCGCCGUAUUCCACCUA
rnacentral:rRNA from 1 species